AACGAACGCUGGCGGCAUGCCUAACACAUGCAAGUCGAACGAGACCUUCGGGUCUAGUGGCGCACGGGUGCGUAACGCGUGGGAAUCUGCCCUUGGUGCGGAAUAACAGUUAGAAAUGACUGCUAAUACCGCAUAAUGACUCCGGUCCAAAGAUUUAUCGCCCAAGGAUGAGCCCGCGUCGGAUUAGCUAGUUGGUGAGGUAAAAGCUCACCAAGGCGACGAUCCGUAGCUGGUCUGAGAGGAUGAUCAGCCACACUGGGACUGAGACACGGCCCAGACUCCUACGGGAGGCAGCAGUGGGGAAUAUUGGACAAUGGGCGAAAGCCUGAUCCAGCAAUGCCGCGUGAGUGAUGAAGGCCUUAGGGUAGUAAAGCUCUUUUACCCGGGAUGAUAAUGACAGUACCGGGAGAAUAAGCCCCGGCUAACUCCGUGCCAGCCGCCGCCGUAAGAC
rnacentral:rRNA from 1 species